UUAGCCGAAGCCAAAACAGAGGUAUAUUAUUGUUAAUAAUAAAACUGAAUUCAAACAAUUCCGGCUAAA
rnacentral:tRNA from 1 species